rnacentral:rRNA from 1 species
ACUACGGUGCCACAGGAUGAGCUCGCGUCUCAUUAGCUAGUUGGUGGGGUAAAGGCCUACCAAGGCGACGAUGAGUAGCCGACCUGAGAGGGUGAUCGGCCACACUGGAACUGAGACACGGUCCAGACUCCUACGGGAGGCAGCAGUGGGGAAUAUUGCGCAAUGGGGGAAACCCUGACGCAGCAACGCCGCGUGAGUGAUGAAGGCUUUCGAGUCGUAAAACUCUGUCUUUGGGGACGAAUAAUGACGGUACCCAAGGAGGAAGCCCCGGCUAACUACGUGCCAGCAGCCGCGGUAAUACGUAGGGGGCAAGCGUUGUCCGGAAUCACUGGGCGUAAAGGGCGCGUAGGCGGUUUGUUAAGUCAGGUGUGAAAGUUUUCAGCUUAACUGGAAAAGUGCACUUGAAACUAACUUACUUGAGUACUGGAGAGGUAAGCGGAAUUCCUAGUGUAGCGGUGAAAUGCGUAGAUAUUAGGAAGAACACCGGUGGCGAAGGCGGCUUACUGGACAGAGACUGACGCUGAGGCGCGAAAGCGUGGGGAGCGAACAGGAUUAGAUACCCUGGUAGUCCACGCCGUAAACGAUGAGUAUUAGGUGUUGCCGAGAGGCAGUGCCGCAG